CGUUCAGGACGGCCUGGACGUACGCCGCGCCGUCGACGGGACGGCCCGC
rnacentral:ncRNA from 1 species